GCGAACGCUGGCGGCAGGCUUAACACCUGCAAGUCGAGCGGGCACUUUCGGGUGUCAGCGGCGGCCGGGUGAGUAACGCGUGGGAACGUGCCCUCUGGUUCGGAAUAACUCAGGGAAACUUGAGCUAAUACCGGAUACGCCCUUUUGGGGAAAGGCUUGCUGCCGGAGGAUCGGCCCGCGUCUGAUUAGCUAGUUGGUGAGGUAACGGCUCACCAAGGCGACGAUCAGUAGCUGGUCUGAGAGGAUGAUCAGCCACACUGGGACUGAGACACGGCCCAGACUCCUACGGGAGGCAACAGUGGGGAAUAUUGGACAAUGGGCGCAAGCCUGAUCCAGCCAUGCCGCGUGAGUGAUGAAGGCCUUAGGGUUGUAAAGCUCUUUUAUCCGGGACGAUAAUGACGGUACCGGAGGAAUAAGCCCCGGCUAACUUCGUG
rnacentral:rRNA from 1 species